rnacentral:rRNA from 1 species
CGGCGUGCUUAACACAUGCAAGUCGAACGGGAUCCAUCAGGCUUUGUUUGGUGGUGAAAGUGGCGAACGGGUGACUUAAUGCGUGACCGACCUGCCCCAUACACCGGAAUAGCUCCUGGAAACGGGUGGUAAUGCCGGAUGCUCCAGUUGAUCGCAUGGUCUUCUGGGAAAGCUUUCGCGGUAUGGGAUGGGGUCGCGUCCUAUCAGCUUGACGGCGGGGUAACGGCCCACCGUGGCUUCGACGGGUAGCCGGCCUGAGAGGGCGACCGGCCACAUUGGGACUGAGAUACGGCCCAGACUCCUACGGGAGGCAGCAGUGGGGAAUAUUGCACAAUGGGCGCAAGCCUGAUGCAGCGACGCCGCGUGAGGGAUGGAGGCCUUCGGGUUGUAAACCUCUUUUAUCGGGGAGCAAGCGUGAGUGAGUUUACCCGUUGAAUAAGCACCGGCUAACUACGUGCCAGCAGCCGCGGUAAUACGUAGGGUGCAAGCGUUAUCCGGAAUUAUUGGGCGUAAAGGGCUCGUAGGCGGUUCGUCCCGUCCGGUGUUAA